CAUGUAGGCGGAUUAAUAAGUUUGAAGUGAAAUCCUAUAGCUUAACUAUAGAACUGCUUUGAAAACUGUUAAUCUAGAAUGUGGGAGAGGUGGAUGGAAUUUCUGGUGUAGGGGUAAAAUCCGUAGAGAUCAGAAGGAAUACCGAUUGCGAAGGCGAUCUACUGGAACAUUAUUGACGCUGAGAUGCGAAAGCGUGGGGAGCAAACA
rnacentral:rRNA from 1 species